rnacentral:rRNA from 1 species
UGACGCUAGCGGGAUGCCUUACACAUGCAAGUCGAACGGCAGCACGGACUUCGGUCUGGUGGCGACGUGGCGACACGGGUGAGUAAUGUAUCGGAACGUGCCCACGUAGCGGGGGAUAACUACGCGAAAGCGUAGCUAAUACCGCAUACGCCCUACGGGGGAAAGCAGGGGAUCGCAAGACCUUGCACUAUUGGAGCGGCCGAUAUCGGAUUAGCUAGUUGGUGGGGUAACGGCUCACCAAGGCGACGAUCCGUAGCUGGUUUGAGAGGACGACCAGCCACACUGGGACUGAGACACGGCCCAGACUCCUACGGGAGGCAGCAGUGGGGAAUUUUGGACAAUGGGGGAAACCCUGAUCCAGCCAUCCCGCGUGUGCGAUGAAGGCCUUCGGGUUGUAAAGCACUUUUGGCAGGAAAGAAACGUCGUGGGUUAAUACCCCGCGAAACUGACGGUACCUGCAGAAUAAGCACCGGCUAACUACGUGCACAAC